GAGUUUGAUCCUGGCUCAGGACGAACGCUGGCGGCGUGCUUAACACAUGCAAGUCGAACGGAAAGGCCCUUCGGGGUACUCGAGUGGCGAACGGGUGAGUAACACGUGGGUGAUCUGCCCUGCACUUUGGGAUAAGCCUGGGAAACUGGGUCUAAUACCGAAUAGGACCACGCGCUUCAUGGUGUGUGGUGGAAAGCUUUUGCGGUGUGGGAUGGGCCCGCGGCCUAUCAGCUUGUUGGUGGGGUAAUGGCCUACCAAGGCGACGACGGGUAGCCGGCCUGAGAGGGUGACCGGCCACACUGGGACUGAGAUACGGCCCAGACUCCUACGGGAGGCAGCAGUGGGGAAUAUUGCACAAUGGGCGCAAGCCUGAUGCAGCGACGCCGCGUGAGGGAUGACGGCCUUCGGGUUGUAAACCUCUUUCAAUAGGGACGAAGCGCAAGUGACGGUACCUAUAGAAGAAGCACCGGCCAACUACGUGCCAGCAGCCGCGGUAAUACGUAGGGUGCGAGCGUUGUCCGGAAUUACUGGGCGUAAAGAGCUCGUAGGUGGUUUGUCGCGUUGUUCGUGAAAACUCACAGCUUAACUGUGGGCGUGCGGGCGAUACGGGCAGACUAGAGUACUGCAGGGGAGACUGGAAUUCCUGGUGUAGCGGUGGAAUGCGCAGAUAUCAGGAGGAACACCGGUGGCGAAGGCGGGUCUCUGGGCAGUAACUGACGCUGAGGAGCGAAAGCGUGGGGAGCGAACAGGAUUAGAUACCCUGGUAGUC
rnacentral:rRNA from 1 species